UACGAAGGGUGCAAGCGUUAAUCGGAAUUACUGGGCGUAAAGGGUGCGUAGGCGGUUCGUUAAGUCUGUCGUGAAAUCCCCGGGCUCAACCUGGGAAUGGCGAUGGAUACUGGCGAGCUAGAGCGUGUCAGAGGAUGGUGGAAUUCCCGGUGUAGCGGUGAAAUGCGUAGAGAUCGGGAGGAACAUCAGUGGCGAAGGCGGCCAUCUGGGACAACACUGACGCUGAAGCACGAAAGCGUGGGGAGCAAACAGG
rnacentral:rRNA from 1 species